GUGGUUCCUCUGUGUCGGUGGUUCCUGUGUCGGUGGUUCUUGGUUCUUUAUACGCCCACUUUCCAACUGUUUUAAUAUCUUCAGCAAGCUCAGGGCAGGACCCCCUCUGUCAACCAAUCAGAGGCGGAGCCUUACCAGCCUCAGGGCCGAUGGGCGAACUCCGAACUCGUCACCUGCUACACGUUUUCCCCAAACACCAUCAGAAAGAACCAGGAGGAAGAGGAGGAAGACCUUUGCCAUCAGAGCCUGGAGCAUCUGCUGGGACACGAGGAAGAGGAGGAGCCAGAGGUGGGUAUGACCACCUGCUUAGGUGGGUUGUGUGUCACAUGACCUGUGGGCUGACUGCGUGUGCGCCCUGCAGACGGUGGUGGAGCUCAGCAGCACCUUCACGGUGUUCGCCGACGGCACCUGUACAGGCGUGGAUGGGUGAGUCCUCUUUACCGCCGCUCGCCGUGCCCUGCUCCUCCCCCUGAUUGGUGUGUUUUCCUGCAGGCGCUUCAGCAUAGACGCCGCUAUUGGACAGGGGGCGGAGCCUGUAUGGAGCACCCAGCUGAGCCCGGACUCGGCGUGCUCCGAAGGCUCCGUUGGAAGUCUGGAUCAGCAGCAGGACCCAGACACGGACUCGCUGAGUCAGAGCAGCUCUGCAGGCAGCCUGAGUGCUGAGGAUGACGAGGACAGGAACCCGUCCAGCCUGAGUGAAGAGAGGUUCGACACGGACCUGAGGAGCUUGCAGCCCCCAGAAGAAAAGUCCUUCCUGAAUCCCCGCCUCAGCAUCUCCAAGCGCUUCCUGUCCCGCUUCCAGGACAGAGUCAGGUCAGAUGUCCUCAGGACCGCCGCCCUCACCUGCAGGACAGGGCUCUGGCCCAUCCAGGUGACUGUUGUGUCUUUGCAGGCUGUGGCCGGCCCGAGCUCCGCCCUCCAUCCCAGAUGGGGUAGCUGAAGAAAGCAGCUCCACGGCGGUACGCACACACCUGACUGCCGUCAGCACGGGACCGCCUGUCAGGGAGAAUCCUUCAUCAUCCCAAUCCGUCUUUCCAGGUGAAGUCCGACAGGAGCGGCGCCGGGUCGGCCGUCUGGACCCGGACAGGACGCUGCAGACCGGUUGAGGGUAGAACAGCUGUGCUCCAGACAGAUAAGACCUCACACAACGUCAGGACGUCCUCUCUGGAUCCAGCAGGUGAGGCCCCCCCUGUGGACCUGGAGCCCAGGCUCCACCUGGAUGCCCCCCCACAGACCGGGAACCAGCAGAACCUCACCGUCGUCUCAACGGCCCCCCAGCCCGACAGUGAGGCCCCCCAGGUCCAGAGCAGCAGCCUGCAGGUGGAGGCCACGCCCCCUCAGGUGCCGUCCCAGGACAGGGAUCGUAUGGGGAGCGCCGACAGCAUUGAAGAAACUCUGAGAAAUCUGAGCCAUACCUUCAUCCAGAGCCCUGCGCUGUUGGCCCCGCCCACCACUUGCACUGAGAGCAGAGUGCCACCUGAUCCAGGUGACCCGGUUCUUCCUGGGAACACAGACUCGAACGUGUCGGCAGAUCAUUUCCUGCUGGUCCCGCCCUCUAGCACCUCCUCGCCGGUCUUAGAAAUGCCCCGCCCCCAUGAAGCAAACACCUGUCAGAUAGGUAACGUCCUGUUCAGUAGAAAGGUUUGAUGUUCUUUGAUCUGCUGAAGCUCCUCCCCCUGCAGGAGCCUCCAUGCAAGGCGCGCUUCCAUCUCCGCCUACAAACCACAACCGGGAGGCCUGCAGGCAGCAGUGUCCCCACGCCGCCCCCCUCCUGCAGCAGGCCGCCGCCCUCCUGCAACGGGUAGUGCACCUGUACCAGCAGGUACAGAUACCGACUGGGUCAGAACCUCUGGACCAGAGCUGAGAAACCAGACCCGUUGUUGUCCUUGUUGCAGCUCGGGUCCUCGCAGCACGGCGCCCUGCAGGAGGCGCUGUCCGACCUUCAGGCACACCUGCACAGCAGCGCCCCCUCUGUUCUGCUGCAGGAUAGCGGCACGUCGCCCCCUCUGGGGAAACGCUGAGCUGCAGGGCCGGACGACCCGGAAGGAACUGGAGCAAUUAGGAACCAGAACCGCUGGUAACAGAAGAUAAAGUGGACCUUCUUUCCCACAGGCCUCAGCGGUUCUGACUGCCGUCUUUUGUAGUGUUUGUGUAGUUGCUGCUAAUAAAGUUUUUGUUUUUAGGACCGUGUUCUCUAACUUCUGCGCACGCGGGAAAGUGAAGGAGUCUCUGUGGGCCGCUGGCUUCUGCCCUCAGUGCUCACGGGACAAAUGGGCUCCUUAUGAGGGGUGGGGUAACCCCCCCCCCCUCCAAGAUGUUCCGGUUUAUGCUAACAGGGUUGUAAUAAAUGUCAGAUCGCUCAAAUGUAC
ensembl:lncRNA